GCGUAUAAACUACAAAAACAUUGGUUUGCAUUAUACAUUCGCCAUUUUACACAGCACCCAGUCGGUUGAAGUCUGUCAUCCCUCCGGAAAAAAACUCAUUUUUUACGCUUAUUUUUUGUGCAUUUUCUGCCAACAACAUGGGAAAAGCGAAGCAGACUGUCCCUCCCGAGCAAAGAAGAACCUCCCCACGGCUGGCAUUGAAACCUAAAGCUGCACCAGUGGACGUCAAGAAAAAGGCUGCCGUAAAAAAGGCACCCAAAGCAAAGAAGGCCAAGCCUGCAGAAAAUGGAAACACCAAGGCUGAGGAGCCAAAGGCUGAAGCCACUGAAACCAAAUGAAUAACGGUUGAUGUGCUCACUCUGUGUACUUGGUGAUUGUACAGUUUUAAAUAAGUAUUUUUUACCAAGUUUUAUAUUACAAAUGUCAUUUAUAGAUUUGUUUUGGACUUGCUUGCACUUGAUGUAACAAAACUUGUUCUCACAUCCAUAUCCAUUACCGUCCAUAUCUUGUAGACGUGGCAUUUUUAGUUUGUCUAAUGCUGUUUUUUUUAAACUGCUGAGUAAUAGAUAUUUUCCAAGGCGUUGGACUUUUGAAUCUAAUUUUAAACAUUAUAAGGCAGCUAAAGCAUAUUGUUAAAAAAUUAGGGAGAAUAGGACUUUUGCCUUUUCUCCUUGUGUGUUAAUGUUGAACUAAUAAAAAAAUUGCUUACCAAAUGUUUUGAAACACUGUAUAUUGAAAAUGCGUCUUAGUCAGUAAAAAUGCCACAGAAAAAAAAAAAGGAAAAAAAUCUUAGGUCAAAAAUUUGAUACAUCCCAAAUAUGUAUGAUGUGAACUCGGAUCAUCUGAUGAGAAGUUAUGUUAAGUUAAUGUUCUGUUAGGGGGGAAAAGGAAGCUUUUCUGAUUUCAAUGGUUGAUCUAAAUGUUCUUGAAUAAAAAAAUUUUAAAAUGUC